GCAUCCCUGCGCAGAGCCUCAGUGGAGCCCACAGGGUGGACCUUUGGCAUGACCAGGAGCCCACGACGCGGUUUCAGGCUGAAGCCUUAGGAUAGCAUAUGCGAACUGUACAGUCAUGAAACAAGUUAUCUGGAUGAAUCUACAUGGGAAAACGUAAGAGAUCAACUCGCAAGCCGUCACUUUUUCAACCGAUGCUUCCUUGGUAGUUCUCCUGUGAGCUCGGGAACUCACAACUUGUGAGAGGGGUUGCUGACUGCAGAAGCAAGACUCUGGAAUCCACCUGACUGAGGUUCAGCUGGACACGUAAUGCCGAGCUGGAAGUGUUUCUUUUCUUCUGGAGAUCUCUGUGAACCAAUGGCUGAGGAGCCCCCAUGGAACUGGACCAGGCCCUCUGGAUAAGUGGGACAGUUGAUGAGCUUGAACUGUAUAGGGGGUCCCCAGGCAGUGGGAUCGGGACCUGUCCUUGGUG